AGAUUAAGUUAUUAAGGGCGCACGGUGGAUGCCUUGGCACUAGAAGCCGAUGAAGGACGUUACUAACGACGAUAUGCUUUGGGGAGCUGUAAGUAAGCUUUGAUCCAGAGAUUUCCGAAUGGGGAAACCCAGCAUGAGUUAUGUCAUGUUAUCGAUAUGUGAAUACAUAGCAUAUCAGAAGGCACACCCGGAGAACUGAAACAUCUUAGUACCCGGAGGAAGAGAAAGAAAAUUCGAUUCCCUUAGUAGCGGCGAGCGAAACGGGAAGAGCCCAAACCAACAAGCUUGCUUGUUGGGGUUGUAGGACACUCUAUACGGAGUUACAAAGGACGACAUUAGACGAAUCAUCUGGAAAGAUGAAUCAAAGAAGGUAAUAAUCCUGUAGUCGAAAAUGUUGUCUCUCUUGAGUGGAUCCUGAGUACGACGGAGCACGUGAAAUUCCGUCGGAAUCUGGGAGGACCAUCUCCUAAGGCUAAAUACUCUCUAGUGACCGAUAGUGAACCAGUACCGUGAGGGAAAGGUGAAAAGCACCCCGGAAGGGGAGUGAAAUAGAACCUGAAACCGUGUGCUUACAAGUAGUCAGAGCCCGUUAAUGGGUGAUGGCGUGCCUUUUGUAGAAUGAACCGGCGAGUUACGAUUUGAUGCAAGGUUAAGCAGUAAAUGUGGAGCCGUAGCGAAAGCGAGUCUGAAUAGGGCGUUUAGUAUUUGGUCGUAGACCCGAAACCAGGUGAUCUACCCUUGGUCAGGUUGAAGUUCAGGUAACACUGAAUGGAGGACCGAACCGACUUACGUUGAAAAGUGAGCGGAUGAACUGAGGGUAGCGGAGAAAUUCCAAUCGAACCUGGAGAUAGCUGGUUCUCUCCGAAAUAGCUUUAGGGCUAGCCUCAAGUGAUGAUUAUUGGAGGUAGAGCACUGUUUGGACGAGGGGCCCCUCUCGGGUUACCGAAUUCAGACAAACUCCGAAUGCCAAUUAAUUUAACUUGGGAGUCAGAACAUGGGUGAUAAGGUCCGUGUUCGAAAGGGAAACAGCCCAGACCACCAGCUAAGGUCCCAAAAUAUAUGUUAAGUGGAAAAGGAUGUGGCGUUGCCCAGACAACUAGGAUGUUGGCUUAGAAGCAGCCAUCAUUUAAAGAGUGCGUAAUAGCUCACUAGUCGAGUGACACUGCGCCGAAAAUGUACCGGGGCUAAACAUAUUACCGAAGCUGUGGAUUGUCCUUUGGACAAUGGUAGGAGAGCGUUCUAAGGGCGUUGAAGCAUGAUCGUAAGGACAUGUGGAGCGCUUAGAAGUGAGAAUGCCGGUGUGAGUAGCGAAAGACGGGUGAGAAUCCCGUCCACCGAUUGACUAAGGUUUCCAGAGGAAGGCUCGUCCGCUCUGGGUUAGUCGGGUCCUAAGCUGAGGCCGACAGGCGUAGGCGAUGGAUAACAGGUUGAUAUUCCUGUACCACCUAUAAUCGUUUUAAUCGAUGGGGGGACGCAGUAGGAUAGGCGAAGCGUGCGAUUGGAUUGCACGUCUAAGCAGUAAGGCUGAGUAUUAGGCAAAUCCGGUACUCGUUAAGGCUGAGCUGUGAUGGGGAGAAGACAUUGUGUCUUCGAGUCGUUGAUUUCACACUGCCGAGAAAAGCCUCUAGAUAGAAAAUAGGUGCCCGUACCGCAAACCGACACAGGUAGUCAAGAUGAGAAUUCUAAGGUGAGCGAGCGAACUCUCGUUAAGGAACUCGGCAAAAUGACCCCGUAACUUCGGGAGAAGGGGUGCUCUUUAGGGUUAACGCCCAGAAGAGCCGCAGUGAAUAGGCCCAAGCGACUGUUUAUCAAAAACACAGGUUUCUGCUAAACCGUAAGGUGAUGUAUAGGGGCUGACGCCUGCCCGGUGCUGGAAGGUUAAGAGGAGUGGUUAGCUUCUGCGAAGCUACGAAUCGAAGCCCCAGUAAACGGCGGCCGUAACUAUAACGGUCCUAAGGUAGCGAAAUUCCUUGUCGGGUAAGUUCCGACCCGCACGAAAGGCGUAACGAUUUGGGCACUGUCUCAACGAGAGACUCGGUGAAAUCAUAGUACCUGUGAAGAUGCAGGUUACCCGCGACAGGACGGAAAGACCCCGUGGAGCUUUACUGUAGCCUGAUAUUGAAAUUCGGCACAGCUUGUACAGGAUAGGUAGGAGCCUUUGAAACGUGAGCGCUAGCUUACGUGGAGGCGCUGGUGGGAUACUACCCUAGCUGUGUUGGCUUUCUAACCCGCACCACUUAUCGUGGUGGGAGACAGUGUCA
rnacentral:rRNA from 1 species